rnacentral:snRNA from 1 species
AAGGUUACCUGACGGGAGAUAAACAGGUGAUCAUAAAGGUGGUGUUCUCAGGACGAGGACUACCCAUUGCACCCCGGGUGAGUUGACACUUGUAAUUUCACCAAAUGUGGGAAACUCGACUGCACAAUUUUCGGUAACAAACCCACAGCCAUCUUUGA